CUGACCAGCAGCCAAACCAUUUGUGAGGAUGGGACGGAAAGCCAAGGGUCUCCGAAGGAAAAGAGACAGCCUGGUUGCCAAG
rnacentral:ncRNA from 1 species